AGAGUUUGAUCCUGGCUCAGGACGAACGCUGGCGGCGUGCCUAACACAUGCAAGUCGAGCGAGAAAGGUCUUCGGACCAAGUACAGCGGCAAACGGGUGAGUAACGCGUGAGAAUCUGCCCUUCAAUGGAGAAUACCUCCGAGAAAUCGGAGUUAAUACUGCAUACGUCCCUUACGGGAGAAAGAUGGCCUCUUUGCUGU
rnacentral:rRNA from 1 species